CGUGCCGAGCGCAAGAAGUCUGGUAGCGAAGAAGAGAAGGAUAACUUUGCCAACAAACAUGCCGGAGGCACACAAACGAAAACGAAUCCACAACAUGAAUGUGGUAGAUCAUCUAUUGGAGCACAGAUUUGAGACCCUUAGUCUGCAGGAAAAAUUAGAGAAAGACAUGCCUGUCCUCAGAAAAUGGUGGUGCACAGUACUGCUUGAGAACUUCCACCUGGAUGGGCACGGCAGAAGGUUCCCACACUUCAUGGAGGAGGCCAAACAAAUGGCUGCUGAACUACUUCCACCAGUCUACAGACUGAAGCGAAAAAGAGAAGUGAAUGACGUUUCCAGUGACAGAAUACAAAUAAUAUAUUGUAUAGGCUUAAUAUUGAUUUGACUGUUUGAUUAUUUUGACAGUGAGUUGGAGCUGAUGGCAGUCAGCAUGAAGAAGCUAUAUCUUUAAGAUUCUGUAGAUUAUUUGUUAAAUAAAUUGUGAGGAAACUUU